rnacentral:tRNA from 1 species
UAGGAAAUGGUAUAAUAGGAAAUACAUAGAGUUUUGAUCUCUAAAAUAUGGGUUCAAGUCCUAUUUUUCUAG